rnacentral:tRNA from 1 species
UCCCUGGUGGUCCAGUGGUUAAGACUCUACACUUUCACUGCAGGGAACACAGGUUUGAUCCCUGGUCUGGGAA